GCAUCAGUGGUUUAGUGGUAAAAUCCAUCGUUGCCACAUGACGUCGAUGGGCCCCGUGUUCGAUUCACGGCUGAUGCA
rnacentral:tRNA from 2 species